rnacentral:rRNA from 1 species
AUGCCGAUGGUCGUCGUGGAGCGAAGCAGGGGUGCAGGCGCGCGUGGAGAGGAGCCCGGCAGCGUUGCAGCAAGAGGACGGUGGCGUCGUCCUGCGGGCAUCCAUGCCGACGCAAGCAACCAGGUUGCAGCAAUGCGGUGCCGGAGCAUGGCGCAGGGCCCGUGGCCGCUGGAGGCGACGCCGGUCAUCGGACGACGAGGCAGGGCAAAGGAGCACAAGGAGGCGACCCCUGGACUGGGCGAGGCGGCGGGGAACCGAUUCGGUCCGGCCGGAGUUGAGGCAGAGGAGCAGCGGAAGGAGACUCGGUCGGCGCGGCGGCAGGCUUGGGCUCGCCGGCCGGCAGGGCGCCAUGGUGAGGAGGCGGCGAUGCGAGGCGCUGCUCUUGGCGUGGAGUGGUCGGGAUCGAACUCCUCUCUCCCUAGAGCAGGGUCGCAGGCGCGGGAUGGAGGUGGACGCCCGACGGGGAUGGCGGCUUGGGCCUCCAUGGUGGUGCAACGCGAUGAAGGAGAAGCCGGGGCGACGAUGGUGCCAUGGGGACGAAGCAGGAGGGAAGAAGAGGGAGGUGCGGCGCUGCUCUCUCUCCCUCUCUAG